UCCCUGCUAGCUCAGCUGGUAUAGAAUCUGCCUGCAAUGCAGGAGACCUCGGUUCUAUUCCUUGGUUGGGAA
rnacentral:tRNA from 1 species